GACGAACGCUGGCGGCGUGCUUAACACAUGCAAGUCGAACGAGUGGCGAACGGGUGAGUAACACGUGGGUGACCUGCCCUGCACUUCGGGAUAAGCCUGGGAAACUGGGUCUAAUACCGGAUAGUGUGGGAUGGGCCCGCGGCCUAUCAGCUUGUUGGUGGGGUAAUGGCUACCAAGGCGCGAUCCGUAGCUGGUUUUAGAGGACGACCAGCCACACUGGGACUGCGACCCGGCCCAGACUCCUACGGGAGGCAGCAGUGGGGAAUUUUGGACAAUGGGGGAAACCCUGAUCCAGCCAUCCCGCGUGUGCGAUGAAGGCCUUCGGGUUGUAAAGCACUUUUGGCAGGAAGACGGUACCUGCAGAAUAAGCACCGGCUAACUACGUGCCAGCAGCCGCGGUAAUAC
rnacentral:rRNA from 1 species